UGUGGCAAGAAAGGGAGAUUGCUGGCUGCUGCUCAGCUCCAUAUCAGGUGGAGCGCAAGAUCUUUACUCGCGUGGAUAACAGGAUAAGGCUGCGUUGAUCCCUGUUUUAUUCGACUCAGUACAGCAGAGUAUGUACGCGCCAUUGCCUCUUCCUUUUCAGCCACCCAUUGAAAUGUCAUAUUGUAUUGCAAUCCAGAUGUGAAGAGGUAACUCUCGGAGGUCCGCAACAAGGACAUGCCAGAUAAUUUCUGCUGGUCUUACAAAAGGUAUCUAUGAACAAUUAACCCAUUUGUGUGAAUACUUUUAUAUUAAUAAUUUCUUCUCUAUGAGAGGUUUAGAGGCCCUUAAUUAGCUGUUGAUGAUAGCUUUUUUCCCCCCUGAAACCUAUAUGUAGGCAGUCUUUUAGUUGAAUCCCCACCAGUUUAUUUUCAGUAAUCAGUGUACAAAUGACCAAGUUUUAUGUUUAUGUCUGAAGAUUUUGAUUCACAUUUUCCUGCGUCUUUUGCUUCCUUUUCUAUCUUAAUCUUAUGAUCUCCUGAAUAUGCCAAAUGCUCCUAGAAUUGCAUCCCUAUAAAAUGCUUUCUUAAUGGUGCUCCAUAUAAUUUUCUUUCCACUAGAGAUGUGUCCACUGAGAGUGGAGCACACACUAAGAUGUAUUUAUUUGCAAAGUUUGAGUUCAAAAGUUGGACGUACUUUCAAGGCCAGCUAAUUCUCUAGUUCAUGCUUUGUGUGUCUAUUGUACAUAUUGCAGUUAUAGACCAGUUCUAUGAAUCCAUUUUUUUAUAUCUUGGCAAGGCCCACUUUUCUAUACAGGUCAUGGUUGAUCUCUCGUGAUGAAAGGUAAAAUUGUGUUGUUCCAAUCAGUAGAAAUUUUUCAUUUAUAUGCGAGAGCUUAAUUCUUCUCCAGAAUCGAUUGAAGCUAUCAUAUGCAUCUUAUGCCCAACAGCUAAAUGUAUUUUUGCAAUUUACCUAGAAUGAGCUCGUGUAUGCUCUAUGAUGUGAUUGCAGGUGCAGAUUGAUUUGAAUAAAGAAGUAACUAUUUAUGGAUGAAGGGUGGGCAUGAUCAGAUGGUUUGUAGGGCUAAAACAUUAUCUGGUGAAGACCAUCAGUGAUAACACCACAUUGACAUAGUUUGGAACAGUAUUCUUAUUAACUUUUAAGACUUGAGCUUUAGGAUUAAACAUGGAGGUGCCAUCCAAGAAAAAGCAUUUGGAGAAAAUGAUGAAAAAUUACUUCUUUUAGAUGUACAACCAAGGUACAUAAUCGUGAUUUUUUUGCAUGAUAAUCACGAUUUUAUUGUAUGGAAGAUGAUUGAUCUUCUACUCUUUAACGAUUUUAAUGUAUCCUUUCAUUCGCAA